UACGUAGGGGGCUAGCGUUGUCCGGAUUUAUUGGGCGUAAAGAGCGUGUAGGCGGCCAGGUAGGUCUGCUGUGAAAACUCGAGGCUCAACCUCGAGACGUCGGCGGAAACCAUCUGGCUAGAGUCCGGAAGAGGAGAGUGGAAUUCCUGGUGUAGCGGUGAAAUGCGCAGAUAUCAGGAAGAACACCAGUGGCGAAGGCGGCUCACUGGACCGGUACUGACGCUGAGGCGCGAAAGCGUGGGGAGCAAACGGG
rnacentral:rRNA from 1 species